rnacentral:tRNA from 1 species
GAGGGUAUAGCUCAGUGGUAGAGUGUACACCUAGCAUGUGUGAGGUCUGGGGUUCAAUCCCCAGUACCUCCA